AGCGAACGCUGGCGGCAGGCUUAACACAUGCAAGUCGAGCGGGCCCUUCGGGGUCAGCGGCGGACGGGUGAGUAACGCGUGGGAACGUGCCUUCUGGUCUGGAAUAACCCUGGGGAACUAGGGCUAAUACCGGAUACGCCCUUUUGGGGAAAGGUUUACUGCCGGAAGAUCGGCCCGCGUCUGAUUAGCUAGUUGGUGGGGUAACGGCCUACCAAGGCGACGAUCAGUAGCUGGUCUGAGAGGAUGAUCAGCCACACUGGGACUGAGACACGGCCCAGACUCCUACGGGAGGCAGCAGUGGGGAAUAUUGGACAAUGGGCGCAAGCCUGAUCCAGCCAUGCCGCGUGAGUGAUGAAGGCCUUAGGGUUGUAAAGCUCUUUUAUCCGGGACGAUAAUGACGGUACCGGAGGAAUAAGCCCCGGCUAACUUCGUG
rnacentral:rRNA from 1 species